rnacentral:rRNA from 1 species
UACGAAGGGGGCUAGCGUUGUUCGGAUUCAUUGGGCGUAAAGGGUGCGUAGGUGGUGCUGUAAGUCAGGUGUGAAAUCUCGGGGCUCAACCCCGAAACUGCACAUGAUACUGCGGUGCUCGAGGACUGGAGAGGAGAUCGGAAUUCAUGGUGUAGCAGUGAAAUGCGUAGAUAUCAUGAGGAAGACCAGUGGCGAAGGCGGAUCUCUGGACAGUUCCUGACACUGAGGCACGAAGGCCAGGGGAGCAAACGGG